rnacentral:miRNA from 1 species
UGCUUAACCUUGCCCUCGAAA